UACGGAGGGAGCUAGCGUUGCUCGGAAUCACUGGGCGUAAAGGGUGCGUAGGCGGGUCUUAAGUCAGGGGUGAAAUCCUGGAGCUCAACUCCAGAACUGCCUUUGAUACUGAAGAUCUUGAGUUCGGGAGAGGUGAGUGGAACUGCGAGUGUAGAGGUGAAAUUCGUAGAUAUUCGCAAGAACACCAGUGGCGAAGGCGGCUCACUGGCCCGAUACUGACGCUGAGGCACGAAAGCGUGGGGAGCAAACAGGG
rnacentral:rRNA from 1 species